UACGUAGGUGGCAAGCGUUGUCCGGAAUUAUUGGGCGUAAAGCGCGCGCAGGUGGUUUCUUAAGUCUGGUGUUUAAACCUGGGGCUCAACUUCAGGUCGCACUGGAAACUGGGGAACUUGAGUGCAGAAGAGGAGAGUGGAAUUCCACGUGUAGCGGUGAAAUGCGUAGAGAUGUGGAGGAACACCAGUGGCGAAGGCGACUCUCUGGUCUGUAACUGACGCUGAGGCGCGAAAGCGUGGGUAGCGAACAGG
rnacentral:rRNA from 1 species